UUCUGAUUAGACGAUGACUGUCACAUGUCAAUUUUUUAUUGGAGGUUGAUUCUAUAGACGAUGAAAAUGUAGUGUUGUUAUCAAUGUUCAUACAGAACGUUGACAGUCAUCGUCCAAUCAAAAUAUGACACAUGACCGUUAACAUUA
rfam:Glycine soja cultivar W05 scaffold1605_23, whole genome shotgun sequence.